AGGAAAAUGAUGGCCUUGAUGGUAUUUUACCCUACCCAGAUGUAGCAGAGCUUGGGCGUGGUAUUAACAUUGGAAAUGACGUUAUCCAUCAAAGUAGUGAUGAUGACGACGACGACGACGAUGAGGAGGAUGAUCAUGAGAACGGUUACACUCUUUCAUGGAAGGAGUUACCUCAUCACGUUAUUGACGCAGGUGUGACGGAGCCCAGACGAUCAAGUAGAAUUAACAAAGGAGUGAAUCCUAAUCCUGGUCGACUGCCGAUGUCGGCGAUCACCGGAUUACCCCCCUGAUGGAGUUAAGUGAUGUGCGCAUCGAAAGCGGCGAAGAGGAACCGUUUAGUUGCAUCAGUUGGGAAGGGAUAUAUAUAUAUAUAUUUUCGACAAUUUUUUAGAUAGAGUAUUUCAGCAUGAAAUAAGCGGGGAAGAUUGCCUGGAUAUUCAUGAUUUUCUUUGUUUUUGUUCUAAAAAAAAAAAAAGAAAAGAGGGAAAAGAAUAGGCUACAAACAGAAUUUGUUUAGGAACUUGUAUUUGAAGGAGAAUUAGGAAAUUCAAGUCUUAUAAGUGGCAUAAAUAUAUGUUAUGUAUAACAAGGCUUCAACAGUUUUUGAUAAGGCAAGCUAAAUGAUGUUGACUUAUUUUUAUGUAAAUAGUUCAGAUUGGCUUGUUAUGCAGGAAAUAAGGUUUAUAUUUUCGUCAUUGGAGCCAGAUUAGUAUGCAGUGAUCUCAUUUGAUAGCACUCAUUGGAGAUUUGUAUACUAUAGUUGGUAUACAGUAGUGAGGUGUAUAGAAAGGAUUUUUUUUUUUUAAUCAUACUGUUGUACAUUAUGAUUAAGGAUAUAUUUGAUGUUGAAGAAAGGAAAAAAAGAAAUUGUGUAUAGUCUAUAGGAUAAUGUUCUUUUUGUGUUACAGAAAAGAUAUUACAGUAUAAUGGUCUAUAGGUUCUUUUUCAAUUGAAGUUUGAUUGAAUGUUUAUCGAUGAGGAAUUUUAUGUUACAUAGGUACACAUUGGCGCUUUCGGGACGAAAGCUGUUUAAGCGGGGAAACUGUGGGAAUGUGGACUAGUUUAUGUUUUAUGUAGAUCGCGGACUUGUCCGAUUAUGCAAAUUAGUUCGCUACGCGUGUUGCACAUGAUUUUGCGGAUGAAUGAUUUAUUGUGUAAUACGCCGCCCACGUUAAUGUGUUAACAUACAUAUUAGUAUUGAAUCACAUUCAUGUCACGUUCAAUUGCGGAGAGGACGUUGUUGCUGUGCCUGUAGCUGUGUAUUACAGAGUCACGCGGUUUCCUUGUUUUAGCGAGGGUUUUGGUUCAACUGUUUGGCAGUAUUUUCGAGGGCAAGAUCAGGACUUGCAUGUUGCAGCUUCUGUUGCUGAGCUGAGCUGAGUUGAUUGCUGGUAGUUUCUUGGUGUCUCCCUUUUCCCCUUCACUUCCUUCUCCACUGUAGUUGAGAGCUUCAGUGGUUUAUUGCUGAAGACUUUGGGUAUGUUUUAAUGAUAUUCUGGUAAAGUUUGCAACAGACUUUGUGUAACUUUACUCAGUCUAAUAUUGCAGUGUGUUUAACAAUUUAUAUGUAUAUUGAUGUUAUGGGACAAUUUUAUAUUUGUUCCAUCGUAUUAUAAAUACUUACAGAUAAGUACAUGUAUUCUUGUUUGUCUGAUGCAAGUAUGAUGCUCUGAUUACUGUUUGAGAUUCUUACAGCUGAUUUGAUGUUUAGAUAUAAUUAUGUCAUUCCAGUUAAUGAUUAUAAUAUUUGAUUUCAGUGAUUUUACAAGAGAAUCAAGAUGAAACAGAUUUGAUUUGGAGAUCAAGUUGUAAUUACUUAAUAUGACAUUUAAUCAA